UACGUAGGGUGCAAGCGUUAUCCGGAAUCACUGGGCGUAAAGCGUGCGUAGGCGGAAGCUUAAGUGUGAUGUUAAAUCGUGUGGCUCAACCAUAUCGAUGCAUCUCAUACUGGGUUUCUAGAGGACGGCAGAGGCAAGUGGAACUCGUAGUGUAGCAGUGAAAUGCGUAGAUAUUACGAAGAACACCAAUGGCGAAGGCAGCUUGCUGGGCCGCCCCUGACGCUGAGGCACGAAAGCGUGGGGAGCGAACAGG
rnacentral:rRNA from 1 species